AUGCAUAAUUACACCUUCCCUGACACCACAUAAAGGGAAAAGUAACUUAUCGGUUUCAAGCACCAUACAAAUAUACCUUCUCCUUUCCCCACUAAAAACUCCAAGCGAUUCCUACAAUACCUUUAUAAGGUAUUCAUGUCUUCGUUUCCCCUAAAUAACCCUAACGGCUCAUGUCCUAAAGUACAAGGCAGAAUUUCAAGAAGAUGUAGAGUUCUCCAAUGUUUAUUCACUAAUGAAAUUACAUUGAUUGCCAGAGUCAAUACAAGUCUUAAAAAAUGAAAAAGAAAAGGAAAAGAAAAGAAAACCAUGUUGCAUAGCUCGCUUAAACUGCAGUAUACACCGAGCUCAGAAGCACAAACACUUCUUAAGGAGGCUUACACAAACUUUUGGACACCAACAUUUGUCAGU
rnacentral:lncRNA from 1 species